rnacentral:rRNA from 1 species
UACGAAGGGGGCUAGCGUUGUUCGGAAUCACUGGGCGUAAAGGGCGCGUAGGCGGCCGAUCAAGUCGGGGGUGAAAGCCCGGGGCUCAACUCCAGAACUGCCUUUGAUACUGGAGAGCUUGAGUCCGGGAGAGGUGAGUGGAACUCCGAGUGUAGAGGUGAAAUUCGUAGAUAUUCGGAAGAACACCAGUGGCGAAGGCGGCUCACUGGCCCGGUACUGACGCUGAGGCACGAAAGCGUGGGUAGCAAACAGG